UACAGAGGUCCCGAGCGUUGUUCGGAUUCAUUGGGCGUAAAGGGUGCGUAGGUGGCGCUGUAAGUGGGGUGUGAAAUCCCGGGCUUAACCCCGGGACUGCAUUCCAUACUGCGGUGCUUGAGGACUGGAGAGGAGACUGGAAGUUUACGGUGUAGCAGUGAAAUGCGUAGAGAUCGUAAGGAAGACCAGUGGCGAAGGCGGGUCUCUGGACAGGUUCCUGACACUGAGACACGAAGGCCAGGGGAGCAAACGGG
rnacentral:rRNA from 1 species